ACGGAAGGCAGCAGUGGGGAAUAUUGGGCAAUGGGGGAAACCCUGACCCAGCAACGCCGCGUGAAGGAAGAAGGCCUUCGGGUUGUAAACUUCUUUUACCAGGGACGAUAAUGACGGUACCUGGAGAAAAAGCAACGGCUAACUACGUGCCAGCAGCCGCGGUAAUACGUAGGUUGCAAGCGUUGUCCGGAUUUGCUGGGUGUAAAGGGCGUGUAGGCGGAGCUGCAAGUCAGAUGUGAAAUCCCGGGGCUCAACCCCGGAACUGCAUUUGAAACUGUAGCCCUUGAGUAUCGGAGAGGCAAGCGGAAUUCCUAGUGUAGCGGUGAAAUGCGUAGAUAUUAGGAGGAACACCAGUGGCGAAGGCGGCUUGCUGGACGACAACUGACGCUGAGGCGCGAAAGCGUGGGGAGCAAACAGGAUUAGAUACCCUGGUA
rnacentral:rRNA from 1 species